GACGAACGCUGGCGGCAUGCCUAAUACAUGCAAGUUGAACGAUGAUAUUCUCUGCUUGCAGAGAAUUGGAGAGUAGCGCACGGGUGAGUAACACGUGGGGAACCUGCCCAUGAGAGGGGGAUAACAUUCGGAAACGGAUGCUAAUACCGCAUAAUGCUUUGGACCGCCUGGUCCAGAGACGAAAGACGGCUUUUGCUGUCACUCAUGGAUGGCCCCGCGCCGUAUUAGCUAGUUGGUGAGGUAAUGGCUCACCAAAGCUGUGAUACGUAGCCGAACUGAGAGGGGGAUCGGCCACACUGGGACGGAGACACGGCCCAGACUCCUACGGGAGGCAGCAGUAGGGAAUCGUCCACAGUGGGCGAAAGCCUGAUGGAGCAAUGCCGCGUGAAUGAAGAAGGUCUUCGGAUCGUAAAGUUCUGUUAUUAGAGAAGAACAAGUCAAGGAGUAACUGUCUUGACUUUGACGGUACCUAACCAGAAAGUCACGGCUAACUACGUG
rnacentral:rRNA from 1 species